AUUCUUUUGUGGCUCAUAAGCUUGGGAUUUUCACACUAAACAUUUUUAACUCAUGAGGUUGGGACUUCACAUUAAUCUCUAAUCUUUGAGAUUGCCUCCCUCAAACCUUGCUACAGUAUUGGCACAUUACCCAUCUCACA
rfam:Homo sapiens chromosome 5, GRCh38 reference primary assembly.